GCUUCACUGCUUUUGUUCCUGUUUCUGUUUCAAGCCUUUGCAUGGUGGUCGUGAGGAAGCUUUCGGUCAACAAUGAUGGGGAGAUGCACCCUUUUCUAUUUUGGUGAAAUUGGCAGAAGGCAAUCCUAGGGGCACGAACAACUUUGGGGGUGUGCCUGUUGACUUGGUAGAGGCGGGGACUGAAGGGAUUAGGGUUUUUUUUCUUUUUUCACUUUAAGUUUAGGAUAGUUGGCUUUGGGCUUGUAAAAGGACUAGACUUUUAUUUUUUUUUUUUUGUUAUUUAUUUGUUUUUAGGUUUUUUGUUUUGUUUUGUCUGGGCCGGACAAAAUUAGGCCACUACACAAAAGGCUUAUCUUAAAAAGCUUAAUAAAGUUUGACCUACCUUAAUUUUUUCUCUGCUAGUUACUCUCUUAAAUUUCCC
rnacentral:lncRNA from 1 species